rnacentral:rRNA from 1 species
GGAAUCUUCCACGAUGGACGAAAGUCUGAUGGAGCAACGCCGCGUGAGUGAAGAAGGUUUUCGGAUCGUAAAACUCUGUUGUAAGGGAAGAACACGUACGAGAGUACCUGCUCGUACCUUGACGAUACCUAAUUAGAAAGCCACGGCUAACUACGUGCCAGCAGCCGCGGUAAUACGUAGGUGGCAAGCGUUGUCCGGAAUUAUUGGGCGUAAAGCGCGCGCAGGCGGUCCUUUAAGUCCGAUGUGAAAGCACACGGCUCAACCGUGGAGGGUCAUUGGAAACUGGGGGACUUGAGUACAGAAGAGGAAAGCGGAAUUCCACGUGUAGCGGUGAAAUGCGUAGAGAUGUGGAGGAACACCAGUGGCGAAGGCGGCUUUCUGGUCUGUAACUGACGCUGAGGCGCGAAAGCGUGGGGAGCAAAC